GGGCUGGAAAGGUGACUGUACUUCAAAAGAACUUCAUUGACUUGGAAGCACUUUGGGACACUCUGGAGCGGUGAAAGGCUUCUCUGGAGCAAUAUGCUGACAGAUCUGCUUUGUGUUUCACGCAUUUUCAGUUCCCGAUAUGAGA